AGUGAACGCUGGCGGUAGGCCUAACACAUGCAAGUCGAACGGCAGCACAGUAAGAGCUUGCUCUUACGGGUGGCGAGUGGCGGACGGGUGACGAAUACAUCGGAAUCUACUUUUUCGUGGGGGAUAACGUAGGUAAACCUACGAUAAUACAGCAUACGACGCACGGGUGAAAGCAGGGGAUAUUCGGACCUUGCGCGAUUGAAUGAGCCGCUGUCGGAUUAGCUAGUUGGCGGGGUAAAGGCCCACCAAGGCGACGAUCCGUAGCUGGUCUGAGAGGAUGAUCAGCCACACUGGAACUGAGACACGGUCCAGACUCCUACGGGAGGCAGCAGUGGGGAAUAUUGGACAAUGGGCGCAAGCCUGAUCCAGCCAUACCGCGUGGGUGAAGAAGGCCUUCGGGUUGUAAAGCCCUUUUGUUGGGAAAGAAAAGCAGCAGGUUAAUACCCCGCUGUUCUGACGGUACCCAAAGAAUAAGCACCGGCUAACUUCGUG
rnacentral:rRNA from 1 species